CACCUAUGUAUUGUCCAAAGUUGGAAAUUGCAAUUACUAAUACGGUUAUUCUUACAUCAUCAUUCAAGGAGUUUAAUCGCAAUGUCAAACUCGUAUUUGAUCAACAUGAUUGCAUCAUAAGAAAGAUGGGGGAAAAUUGAUGGAGAAGAGGAGGAAAAAAAGACAUGCAAAUAUUGAAGUCUUUUAAAACAUGAAACACACAACAUCUCUCCACCACUUUGUACACAUCAUUGUUUGCUCCCUCCUUUAUAAACAGUAAGAUGCAGCAAAUUCACAGUAUCAUAUAUGUUUGCCUCUUACAUAUCAGCUGCUAUCAUAUGUUUAAUAGAAAGGAUUAUGUCACUUUUUACGAGACACAGCUGCUGCAAUCCCACCUGCAAUCAGUCCAACAGCAGUUGCAGCAAUGCCCAAGCCAAUGACACCAUCUACAAUGGAGGAAUAGAAAUAAUGUCAGUGUUAUUUAGAGCACAAAUCAAGCCCCUUCCCAUUGGUCUCAACAUGAUAAGGGGAAGAAAAUGCAUGGGGAAAGAUCAAUAAUUGAUGAGAACCUUUUGUUAUCCGACUCUCAAUCGCCUCCUUAAGUGACAAUGCCUGCCUCCAGUCGGAUGCAAUCUGCAGAAGAAAAAAUUGUAAUCAUUUUCACAUGGGAUGCUGUGUUGUGUUGGUGUUAAUGGAUAGAUUGGAAUUGGAAUGAAAAAUUUGAUGGUGUACUUCAUCUUCACUUAGAAUUAAUGGUUAGAUUUGGAGGGUAAAGAAAAAAAGCCAAGAUAUAUAGAUAGCGAGUCUGACAUUUUUUUUCCUCUAUAAAUUUCAAUUAAACAGUGGAAUCAAAGGCUCAAGUAUAUGGAAAAACAAAAGAGGGAAAAAAAUGAUAAACAUGAUUCUUGUCGUAAGCUACGUAAUUUCAGAGAGUUUGAACCAGUUUCAACCACUAAUGGACAUGUUCAAGGUUAUUCACUAAAUUUCAAAUUAGUAGAGAUACCGAGUGAGAAAAGUCCUAACAGACAACAAAAUUUACAAAAUCAUAUCUUAUUUCUACAAGCUGUUACAGUGAAAUGUACAGAAAAUGCAUUUAUAGAAGUCAGAUUCUUUUUAAAAAUCUGAUGUGUUUUGAAGAUACAAUGCAGGAUAGAAACGUCAACUAGUUAUAAAAUAAAGGGUUAAUAGGUCUUUACCCCCCUGUAAUAUAGGUCAUUUCCGGUUUUCCCCAUGUAAAAUAUUUUUGUUUUGAUUUAUCCCCCUAAUAGGCCAAACAAAAACGAACAUGUUUUGAAAAAAAAUAAAUAAAAUUGGUUUUUGUUUGGCCUAUUAGGGGAGUAAAUCAAAACAAAAAUAUUUUACAGGGGGUAAAUCAAAAUAAAAUAAAAUUUUUACAGGGGGGAAACCAAAAAUGACCUAUUCACCCUAAAAUAAAAUUUAAGAUUUACAGAUAUAUCAAGUGCGGUGCUAGGGGCACAUACACCUUAUACAACUUGGGGCUGUUUAUUUCGGGUGUUUCCUGUUUCCAUUUCCUCUAAUAAAAUGAAUAUUAGAGAAGACAUUAUGAAAGUUUUUAAAAUUCAGAAGAAAAAAAAAAAAUCAAAACAUUAUUUUCGGUGUUUACGGAAACACAUACUUUCUAGUUAGCUUUCAUCUUUAAACUAUCACAAUUAAAAAGUAAGAUCCAUAAGCAAAUGUCAUCCACCCACAUAUAAAGUAAAAAUUGAAAAUAUUGUUAGAAAGUAGCCAGAUUACCAGACCCAGUUUCUCUGUCAUAAAUCAGGGGAACAUAAUUUAAAACAAUGGAAGAAUACACCCGGAUAUGAUUUUUUUUAUAAACAAAAGGAACUGAUGAAAGCAUUAAGGCUCAGUUCUGAUGUUUCUCUAGAUACCAAGUAACAUUAAAGCCAAAGCGAGAAAAACAUACCUCUAGGCAUUUCUCAACAAGUUCCCUGCUCCUUGAAUAGUCACCACUUUUGUAAUAUCCAACAGCCAGAAGAUAAAGCUUCUCCCUUUGUUUCAGCGGGUCAACAGUACUCGGUAAUGAUGCUGCCACACACAUGUAAUUUUAUUAUCAACGUCAUUGUUAUAAACACAAUUUUGCUUAUCAAUUUACACUUGCAAGUUAAGUAAAAGAGAGAUAGAUUGGUUUACAUUGAAGCAUUGCUAUCCCACGCUGCACAUCUUCUGGACGUUUUGAGUGGACAAGAGCCCAUGAUAAACGCAAGAGAGAUUCUUGCAUAGCCUCAUCAGAGGCAGGUUGUUUCUCGGCCUCAGCAACCUCUCUUUCACAUCCCUACAGAUAUACAUGCAUCAAAUUUAAAAGCGGCAAAGCAAAAGGAAAUGGAUAGGAUCAAGGCCCAUGUUUGAAUAAGCAGAUUUAUUAAGUGUUUGUGCUUGUCAUGUAAGUGCUUAUGUAUAAACUAUGACCCCGUUUGGAUUGGCUUAUUAUUGAACUUCUGAAAAAUAGCUUAUGCAAAUAAAUAAGCUUUUGUGUUAAUUCAUAAGUUCUCAAUAAUAAAAAUUGCAUCUUCAUAAUCAGUUUUUUCAUAAACUACCUUGACAAGCUUAUUUAUUUUCAUAGGUUGUUUUGCAUAAGCUAAAAAAUAAGCCACAAUCCAAACGGGCUUUGUAUAACAAAAUGUAAAAUCAAAUCAAAUUUUGUUCAUAAAAUAGCCUAGAGAGCUUUCCUUAUAAGCAAUCCCAAAGAGUCAGUGCUCACAAGUUUUGUGAGACAGUUUGGGAGAAGUUAUGAAAACAGCUUAUGAGAAGCUUUUUUUUUCAGCUUAAUUGAAUUAAGAAGUUAGAAAGUAAUUAAAAUUGAAGCUAAAUUCUGAGUCUAAUGCAAGAAAAAAGAAAGUCUAUAAUAAGAAAAGGGGAAACGGUGCGUUUAAUAAAUGAUAGAGAAGGAAGAGAGUACAGCGAUGAUAUCGGGAUCGCAGGAGGGAAGAAGGUCACUGCCGGAGAAGAAUUGUCCAACCUUGUCAAC
rnacentral:lncRNA from 1 species